rnacentral:lncRNA from 1 species
GACUAUAACUUCAGCUAGGAAUAUCGGAUUAAGGCGCGGUCAGUUGCAUUGGAAAGAUAAGACAAAGAGCUACAACUUUCUUGUUGAAGUCCAAAGCCAAUUCAGAGCGCAAAGGAGUCAUAUUUACUCGUCAAUGUCCCAGACUUGCCAAAAUUUAAUUAUUUUCAGGAUAACUUUUAUUUUUCGGCCCAAUUGUUUCGUGGCCCAUUUUCCUCGAUGUAUAAAAACGAAAUUGUGACAGAGUCAGGGAUUAUUCUGAAUUCACGAAAUACAAACCCUAGCAGCCACUACCUUCAUGGAGAACUAAACUUAUUUUCGAUCCAUUGGUGUAAGGAAN